CUGUGUCAGACAGAUGUUUUAUGUCGAGGGUCAGUCUCCAGGACACAGGUACUCAUGAUGCCAAUGCCUGCUAACAUAGAAAGUUUUGAAUUAUUUUGAUUGAUUCAGCAAUUCUUAUUGCCUCUGAUUACAUGGCCUAUUAUGAAGCAAAUUUCUAUAAACUGAACAAUUUAAAGAAAUUAAUACUAUAUCACAAUGUAAUCUUUUUUGAUAUUUUAAGUCAAAACUUGGGAUCCAAGCUAAAGUUAAAAAUUGAACUAUGUUGGUUCCACCCAUAGAAAUAAUGCAGUGGAGGUCGUUGAACAAAUGUUCACCUUUAAAUGUUCACUAGUUUGCACAUGUGCAGGCAAUGAGGACUGUUGGCACUUCACAGUUCAUUCCGCUGUCUGAAUGUUGUCAAAUAUUCUUUAGACAUGUAUUCUGUGCAACUCACUUUUAGAAAUAUUACGAUGGAAAAAUUAUAUCUUAGUAACAAAAAAGUAUGGGGUAUAAUUUUGUUAAUCUGACGUAAUUUACCUUCUCUUGUUGCCCUGCUAUCAAAGGCAGGUUUAUAUUAUUUUUAUUUGUUUAACACACAGAGUCCUUAAAAGAUUUAAGAGUUUAAAAUCCAUGAAUACUGAUGGUGUUAGGUAUGAGGAAAAAACAAAAAAAAGAUCCACAAAUUGGUUGGAAAGCUUGGUAAAGGUUUGGUAUCUUCUCAUCCCAAAGGGGAGCCCUUCUGUUAAGGUAUCAGAUGCUUCCCCUUGCCCAUUGUCCUACCCAGGGAGAGAAAUUCAAUCAGCCAGGACUUUACAGACCUAUCUUCUUCCUCCAGGACAGAGGGGGGAAGGCCCGACACCUGACACUUGGAGAGCUUGAGCCUCAGAAUAAAACACACUGCCAUGAAUUUGAAUGAAGAUAAGAGAAGAGGACAGUGAGAGAUGCUCCAAUGAUGGCAACACGAUGUUCCACGAUAAAACUGACACAAAAAACAAUGCAAAAUUUGUCUAAGAGAGGUUCAGCAAGCAUGAGAAAAACAUCUGAUAUCUCUCAGAGCCCGCCAAGUUCGCAGCUUACAGUGCCAGAGUAAUUAUGGGAUGAUUUGAACAGAGGCAAUGCAUGAGGAAGCCACUUCCAAAUGUAUCAGGAAGAGGGGCCAACUCUGGGUGAAGAAUGUGGUUCUGGAGAGAGAUGGAGAGUUUCCCUUUAACAUAUCCUUCGACUGUUCCUAUCCAAACAGUCAUAUGGAGACAGGUGACAACCAGGUAGUCUGGAUUUCUCUGCACUUCUCUAUGUAACAUUGGGAAUCACUCUGUAAGAAUUUGCCAAGGAUAUGAGUAAGACUAUGUCAAGAAAAGACCUAAUUGUUAUUUGUACAAAGCAUCAUAUUUCCCUUGGUCUGAUGAUCUCACCACUCUGUAGGUGGAUAUGCAUUGGAGAAAGCCACAAAACAGAGUGUGCAAGGCUUGAAGAUGUGUGCACUUGAAGAUGUGGUGGGAGAAAUUAGUGCCCCUAAGGAAAACGAUGUUGACAGAAAUUUCGGUGGUAGCCUUGGAAGCAGAGUGUGAUUUGCACAUUUAUUCAUUAACUUAUUCAACAA